GAUGAACGCUGGCGGCGUGCCUAAUACAUGCAAGUCGAGCGAACGGACGAGAAGCUUGCUUCUCUGAUGUUAGCGGCGGACGGGUGAGUAACACGUGGAUAACCUACCUAUAAGACUGGGAUAACUUCGGGAAACCGGAGCUAAUACCGGAUAAUAUUUUGAACCGCAUGGUUCAAAAGUGAAAGACGGUCUUGCUGUCACUUAUAGAUGGAUCCGCGCUGCAUUAGCUAGUUGGUAAGGUAACGGCUUACCAAGGCAACGAUGCAUAGCCGACCUGAGAGGGUGAUCGGCCACACUGGAACUGAGACACGGUCCAGACUCCUACGGGAGGCAGCAGUAGGGAAUCUUCCGCAAUGGGCGAAAGCCUGACGGAGCAACGCCGCGUGAGUGAUGAAGGUCUUCGGAUCGUAAAACUCUGUUAUUAGGGAAGAACAUAUGUGUAAGUAACUGUGCACAUCUUGACGGUACCUAAACAGAAAGCAACGGCUAACUACGUG
rnacentral:rRNA from 1 species